UACGGAGGGGGCGAGCGUUAAUCGGAAUUACUGGGCGUAAAGCGUGCGCAGGCGGUCUGCUAAGACAGGUGUGAAAUCCCUGGGCUCAACCUAGGAAUUGCGCUUGUGACUGGCGGGCUAGAGUACGGUAGAGGGGGGUGGGAUUCCUGGUGUAGCAGUGAAAUGCGUAGAGAUCAGGAGGAACACCGAUGGCGAAGGUAGCCCCCGGGGACUGUACCGACUAUCAGGCACGAAAGCGUGGGGAGCAAACAGG
rnacentral:rRNA from 1 species